CAGGGGGCCGACCCGCCCCUUCCGCGCUGCCACCAUGGCGGAGCCGCCAGGCCCUUUUUGCGUUCUGCGGGACGGGGCAGGCCGGUACCUCUGCUACUGCUGCCCCGCGGCCGGCCCCGGCUCAGCCGGCACCGUCUAUGUGACCGACGCGCUGGAGGUCUGGGCCGGGGAGCUCGGCGCCCGCCCGCCGCAGGGCCGCGCGCCGCAGGGCGGGACGUGCCUGCCGGAGGACGGCGUCGCGAACCUCAGGGAAGCCCUGCAGCGUGGGGCCGUCUCCCUGAGCCUGCAGGAUGGCAGGGCCACGCUGCAGCUGCAAGGGGAGGCUGGGCACACCACCCUUCAUCUCUGCAAGCUUCCUGUUGCAGAGGCGAGGACCCAGCUCCAAGCGCUGAUGUUUGGCUUGGUGACUUGCAUCAAGAACCUAGAAGAACAUCUCAAAGGGUUCCCCCAAGUGGGCUGGUUCAGAGAACUAAUGAUGGGCACACUGGAGUCUUCCUGCAGCCCUGAGAAGAAUGCUGCCCAGAGCCAGCAGCUCUUCCUGCCAGGAAACUCUGAGCCCCCUCUGCUUUGGCUGCUGUCAAACACCCUGCUCUUAGUGCCCUUCCCAGCACAGGAGGGGCCAGGGUUCAGCAUGGUAGCUCUUGAGGUGCACUGUGCUGAGGUCAAAUGCCUAGUAUCACCAAGCAUGGUUGCUUGCCAGCCUCCAGGAGAAGGUCAGGCUUUACUGCUUCAGGCUUCACAUGGCAGUUCUAUGGGUCCCUGAAGCUUUCACAGAGGAGACCAAGCAUGACCCCUCACCAUCCAUGGCUGCUGGAGGCACACCCUGCGCACAGAGGGACUUGCAGGGUUGCUAAAGCAACCAGCUGACAUUCGCUUUCCCUAUCCUUCCUGUCUCUGACUGAGGCAGACCCCAGCCCCAGGAAGAACAGGGGUGCUGGCUCAGCUUUGUCAGCAAAGCGGAAGAUCCCAGGAGAGUCUCUCAUUAAUCCUGGUUUCAAAAGCAAGAAGGCACCAUCUGGAGUGGACUUUGAAGACUCAUGACCUGUGCUGUCCUGUCAACCCCAAUGACAGCAUUUUCAACCAUGUGUGGCUGAUAGAGGUUUUAUUGCCCCCUGGCCCUGCCAAGCUCCUUGCUGCAGGUGUGGCUCAUGGUCAAUAAAGGAGAUGGAUGGGGCAAGCAGGACCCAGAGACCUGGAGGCAGUGCCUGGCAGGCCUGAGGGGGCAGCAGAUCCUCAGCUAGUGCUGUAGCAGGGCCUUAGGGGGAGGGGGGUUAGACAGGGCAGGGGUGACAAAGCGGUGGCUUUUUUCCCUGCAGCUUCUCCCUGCUGAAAGGGCCACCCCUUUACUCCACUUGCCAUUAAUUGGUGUGUUUUUUUUUAAAUAACUUUGAAAGAUUUUUUUUAAAGAUUGCCUGUGCUUAAGUUAUUGCCAGUAAAGCUGUUUUUAGCCAGCUGGUCUCUGGGGGCUUGUCCAGAG